AUAUCCCAUAGCGAAAGCUAGUAAGGCCCCUUGAAGACUACAAGGUUGAUAGGCUGCGUGUGUAAGUGUGGCAACACAUUGAGCUUGGCAGUACUAAUAGGCCGAGGGCUUGACCAUA
rnacentral:rRNA from 1 species